rnacentral:rRNA from 1 species
UUUUAUUAGAUAUAAUUAAUAAUAAAAUCUGCUCAAUGAUCUUUUAAAUAGCCGCAAUCGUGCUAAGGUAGCAUAAUCAUUUGUCUUUUAAUUUAAGACUAGAAUAAAAGAUUUAACACUUAAAUAAAUUUCUUAAAAUUAUUUAUUUAAAUUAUUUUUAAUGUAAAAAAACAUUAAUUAUUUAAAAAGACGAUAAGACCCUAUCGAACUUUACUUUAGUUUAACUGGGGCAGUUAAUUAAUUAUUAUUUUAAUAUAAUGUAAUUUAUAAAAUUGACCUAAUAAAAUUAAUUAAAUAACCAAGUUACCGUAGGGAUAACAGUGUAAUAUUAUUUUAAAGAUCUUAUUUAAAAUAAUGAUUGCAACCUCGAUGUUGACUUAAUUUUCUUUAUGACGCAAUAGUUAUAAAUGAAAGUCUGUUCGACUUUUAAACAAUUACAUGA